rnacentral:rRNA from 1 species
UGAGGAAUAUUGCGCAAUGGGGGCAACCCUGACGCAGCAACGCCGCGUGAGUGAGGAAGGUUUUCGGACCGUAAAGCUCUGUCGAGCGGGAAGAAAUGCAUGGUGGCUAAUAUCCAUCAUGCUUGACGGUACCGCUAAAGGAAGCACCGGUUAGCUCCGUGCCAGCAGCCGCGGUAAUACGGGGGGUGCGAGCGUUGUUCGGAAUUAUUGGGUGUAAAGAGCGUGUAGGCGGCCGAAUAAGUCAGAUGUGAAAUCCCUGGGCUUAACCCAGGACGUGCAUUUGAAACUAUUCGGCUUGAGUAGGGGAGAGGAAAGUGGAAUUCCUGGUGUAGAGGUGAAAUUCGUAGAUAUCAGGAGGAACACCGGUGGCGAAGGCGACUUUCUGGCCCUAUACUGACGCUGGGACGCGAGAGCGUGGGUAGCAAACAG